UCAGAAUGUUCUCCUGAUGGAAGGUCAAAUUCUGCUUGGCUUUUGGUGGAGAAACAGUUGACAGCAAAGAAAAGGCAGAAAACACAGAAGAACCAACAAACUACUGAAGGAUAAGAACAAAAUGUGGAUUUUCCAAGGACAGAGGAGAGUGUUCACUGCCUGGAUAUUAAUUUUCUUCCCAUGGAAAAGGAGCCAGGAGAUGGAUCACUACGUGUUUAACUAGCACAGAGAAAGCAGUCCGCAUCCAUCUAUCUUCCAUUCAGUCUCCCUUCAGAAAGACAUUAUGGGUGAAUCCCACUCCUCUGACUACAAGUGUCUCGAGUAACAGCUUUGCAAGUGGCCUUAACAGAGUGUCAGGAAACCAAUCAAUGUAGCUUUUCACAAAGGAAUCUACUUGAUCAAUAUCACCAAGCACCUGCAGACCUAACACACAGAUCACAUAGGAGUUUUCAUGAUCAAUAGAAGUUAUACAGGAAAUAAAUUAUUGGGGAUAUUUACAUCGGUAUGUCAUAAAUGCUGUGUGCUGAUAGCUUUGUUCUUGGGGAGCUAUGCUAAUAUAAUAAAAGUGUUAGGAGCGACAGUGCUUAAGCUGCAGGAGAGCCUCUCAGGGUUAGCUUCAAAGAUGUAACUAGUUUUGAAGGAAAAUUGGUUUAAAAAUGUUGCCCUAAUUUUUCCUCACCAAGUAGAUUGUAAACUUUUUGAUGGAUGGGAUUAUUUUGAUGUUUCCAUACCACGAGUAUUGACAUAACAUAGGGAAAUCAAUAAAUUCUUGCUGAGUUGAUUAC